GGACGAGAGUCUGAACCAGCCAAAUCGCGUGAAGGAAGACUGCCUUAUGGGUUGUAAACUUCUUUUAUACAGGAAUAAAAAGAGUUACGUGUAACUUAUUGCAUGUACUGUAUGAAUAAGCAUCGGCUAACUCCGUGCCAGCAGCCGCGGUAAUACGGAGGAUGCGAGCGUUAUCCGGAUUUAUUGGGUUUAAAGGGUGCGCAGGCGGGAUCUUAAGUCAGCGGUGAAAUUUUCAGGCUCAACCUGAACACUGCCGUUGAAACUGGGAUUCUUGAGUAUAGAUGAAGUAGGCGGAAUUCGUUGUGUAGCGGUGACAUGCUUAGAUAUAACGAGGAACUCCAAUUGCGUAGGCAGCUUACUAAGCUAUAACUGACGCUCAAGCACGAAAGCGUGGGGAUCAAACAGGAUUAGAUACCCUGGUAGUCCACGCCGUAAACGAUGAUUACUAGUUGUUUGUGAUAUAUUAUAAGUGACUAAGCGAAAGCGAUAAGUAAUCCACCUGGGGAGUA
rnacentral:rRNA from 1 species